UCCUCUGAAAUCUUGAUUCUUUGCUCUGCUUUAUACAUUUAAAAAAAAAAAAAGAUUUCAAAUUGUAGAAAACUGCGCUGAAAUUUUCUCAUCAUCUUUUCAAGUUCAGUGAACUAACAUCUUAGAAAUUUGGAGUCUUUUAGAAGCACGGGCAUUCUCCCUGUUUUCAAAGAGGACUGUGGUAGUUUGAAUGAAAUUGGCCCUUAUAAGCGCAUAGAGAGUGGCACUAUUAGGAGGUGUGGCUUUGUUGGAGGAAGUGUGUCACUGUGGAGGUGGGCUUUGAGGUAUCCUAUAUGCUCAUGGUUUAUUCAGUGUGACAGGAGUGUUGACUUCCUGCUGCCUUCUGAUCAAGAUGUAGCCAGCACCACAUCUGCCUGCAUGCCUCCAUGCUCCCUGCUAUGAUGACAAUGACUGAAACUUUGAAACUGCAAGCAAGUCACCUCUAUUAAUGUUUUCCUUAUAAGAGUUGCUGUGGUCAUGGUAUCUGUUCACAGCAAUAGAAGCCCUAACCAAGACACAAGUUGGCACUAGGGACUGGGGUAUUGCUGUGACAGAUGGACCAUGCUUUUGUUUGGAGAAAUGUGGACUUUGGGAGGUUAGGAUAGGACAGCAGUGGAACGCUUUAAGCACUGCUUAAUGGACCGUACUAGUAGGAGCAUGGAAAAUAGCGGUGCUGAGAGUUAUUUGAACUGCUGGGAACUCAAUCAAGAGGUUUCAGAGGAGAAAAAGUUUCAUCACUGCGGAGAAGUUGAGGCCGAAUCUCCAAUAGCUAAUUCCAUUACAUCCGAGGUCAAGAGCAGAGAGCUGAAUGGCUGCAUGCUCAUUUGCUUGGCCAUGCUCAUCUUGACUUCUCCCCUCAAGACAGCAGAGGAGCCGAGGACCUCUCGCCUUGGGCACCGCGCUGCGUACACUGGGCUGAGUCUCUGCACAUCAGCUAACUUACUCAUUCAGGCUCUCCCAGGAGAUUCCAGGCCCUGUCAAGUUGACAACUGAAGACUGUCUUCUUGGCACCGACCUCAUAUCUGGCGGUAGAGAAUGCGCUAAUAAAUUUUGAUACCAAUUCUUACUUCUGGGAGAAACAAAGACUCAUGUUAGUCCUUUGUCUGGAAAGUAAAUAAAGAAACAAAGUUUCCAAAAAGCAGAAGAAACCGGCAUUUUCUAGUGGAAGAAAUACAACGUACGCAGCUUUACGCAGUGCGUGAGGGCGGGGUCGGUGGGCCCAUUUACCCCGUGUUGAUGGUCUUUUUCUCCUGAAAUAAACCUUUUGGGAAAGAAUUUCCAGAUUCCUGAUUUAGUAAAAGUCAAACGAUGAAUUUGCAUUGGAUUAGAAAAAUGCUGUUCUCAAUGUUUUCUCUUUAAGACAGCAAUCGUGUGUUUCUGCGGGUGUUUUUGAUUCAGAUCUCGUAUGGUCUUCUCUAAACUUCCGUGAGAUUUUCAUCUGUCAAGACAUUGUUCAAUCAGUUCAUUCUCUUUCAAAGUAAUCAUUGUUUCCUGGCCCUGAGUCUGGAAGAAUCCCUAGAGAAGAUGACACGAGCUUGGAACGGAAUGACCUUCUGCAAUGUUUGGCAGGAUUACGGUGCAGAGCUCAGCUCCAAAGAGGAGGGCUUCCUGGUGGAGUCCCACUACGAAAGUGUGAGGCGAUCAACAGGCAUUGUAAACAGCACACAUGAAGCUGAUGCUGUGGAGACCAGAGCCAUGGGUUCCUAUGGUCUGUGUGAGGACAGAAAGAUAUCAAUGUUUCCUAAAACAAAAAACAAAACAACAGCAAACAAAACAAAUAAAACAAAAAACAGUUUCCAGGACAAUAUGCAAAAUUCACAUUUUUUGCUGGGCAGUGGUGGUGCGCCUUUGAUCCAGCCCUUGGGAGGCAGAGUCAGGCAGAUCUCUGUGAGUUCAAGGCCAGUCUGGUCUACAGAGUGAGUUCCAGAACAGGCUCCAAAGCUACAGAGAAACCCUGUCUUGGGGGGAAAAGGGCAACAAAAAAAUCACAUUUUUUUGAUGAUUUUGAUGAUCCACACUGCUGAUGAUGAGAGACGGCUGCAGGUAGUAUUUUCCUGUAAAGGU